rnacentral:rRNA from 1 species
CAGUAGCCGCGGUAAUACGUAGGGCGCGAGCGUUAAUCGGAAUUACUGGGCGUAAAGCAUGCGCAGGCGGUUUGGUAAGACAGGCGUGAAAUCCCCGGGCUCAACCUGGGAAUGGCGCUUGUGACUGCAAAGCUAGAGUGCGGCAGAGGGGGAUGGAAUUCCGCGUGUAGCAGUGAAAUGCGUAGAUAUGCGGAGGAACACCGAUGGCGAAGGCAAUCCCCUGGGCCUGCACUGACGCUCAUGCACGAAAGCGUGGGGAGCAAACAGGAUUAGAUACCCGCGUAGUCCCUGUCUCUUAUAC